rnacentral:rRNA from 1 species
CAGCAGCCACGGUAAUACGAAGGGUGCAAGCGUUAAUUGGAAUUACUGGGCGUAAAGCGUGCGUAGGCGGUGAGUUAAGUCUGCUGUGAAAUCCCCGGGCUCAACCUGGGAAUGGCAAUGGAUACUGGCAAGCUAGAGUGUGCCAGAGGAUGGUGGAAUUCCCGGUGUAGCGGUGAAAUGCGUAGAGAUCGGGAGGAACAUCAGUGGCGAAGGCGGCCAUCUGGGACAACACUGACGCUGAGGCACGAAAGCGUGGGGAGCAAACAGGAUUAGAUACCCCAGUAGUCCCUGUCUCUUAUAC